AUUAUUGGUAAAGCUGAAAGAGACGGGUCAGUGGCAGCGCAAAGACUGAUCAUGUAUGGAGGAAAUGAUGACUUUGAUUUGAACCUUUAUGACCAAGCCAUUAAACUUACUACAAAUUUUCCCGACAUAUUUCCUGCAAGCAAUACAAAUGGUUUUUAACCGAAAAGAAUGCUKCAAUAACAAGAAUAUUCAAGAGUUCAACUAAAUUCAAAACUGUAUCAUCCAAAGUCAUAAAAGACAUGUUGUAUUGGUAGAGAUAAUGGUUCAUACAGUUGCUGGACUGUUGUUGUUGUUCAAAAUAUUGUUUGCCUGGACUUCUCCAUUGUCCUUCAAGUAAACAGUUAACAGAAAUUUCAAGAAAAAAAAAACAGACUCACAGUGCCAUAGCAAACUGUAGAUAUYAGCAUCUUUACAUUGUAAAAUGUCAUACUGGUUGGCUAUGGCUCUUAACUCCUUUUUCAAGUGAGGUGAUACAAAUCUCUUGCUCUGAAAAUAAUAUAAUCUUACACAAGAAGAUAUUAUCAAAAAAGUUUAAUAAUUUGUAUACAUUCUAGCUAAAGAACAAGACUUUUGUCUUUGUUUGUACAUUCAUGUAAGAAUUCAUUAUUUUUUGCAUGAAGGCAACAUUUAAAUGUACAGUAAUACUUCUAUAAUAGAGUAUUGGGACUUUUGAUUGUGGCUGCUUUAUUGUAGAUGGUAACUGCUGAAWAGAGGUACCAUUGUAGUGAAGUUGUAACUACCACUAUGUUAUCAGUAUUUUCAUUAUUAUUUAGCUUUUAUAUUCUAAUGAUAKGAAUAGGAAAAGAAAGUCUGUUGUAGUAAAAAUCAAAUUGCAACUUGGUUUUGAUAAAUAUCAUUGGUAAUUACAUUACAACAUUUAGAUAAUGUAUAUUUUCAGUAUUACUAAAUUGUUUCCAUGUUUUUGUUUUGUAAUCUGUUCUACUAUGUAUGGACUCCAUUAUACUAAGUUACAUAAAAAUAUAUUAAAAAUACCAUUUAAUGAUU